AGGAUUCUCCAAACAUGCUCA
rnacentral:snRNA from 1 species